rnacentral:rRNA from 1 species
UACAGAGGGUGCGAGCGUUAAUCGGAAUUACUGGGCGUAAAGCGCACGUAGGCGGCUUGGUAUGUCGGGUGUGAAAUCCCCGGGCUCAACCUGGGAACUGCAUUUGUGACUGUAGAGCUGGAGUGCGGCAGAGGGGGAUGGAAUUCCGCGUGUAGCAGUGAAAUGCGUAGAUAUGCGGAGGAACACCGAUGGCGAAGGCAGCCCCCUGGGCCAACACUGACGCUCAGGCACGAAAGCGUGGGGAGCAAACAGG